rfam:Candidatus Izimaplasma sp. HR1 chromosome, complete genome.
CAUAAGGUUGUUCUCACAACCACCAUUACAACUAGUAAUAUAUAGU